rnacentral:rRNA from 1 species
AUUGAACGCUGGCGGCAUGCCUUACACAUGCAAGUCGAACGGCAGCACGGGAGCAAUCCUGGUGGCGAGUGGCGAACGGGUGAGUAAUAUAUCGGAACGUGCCCAGUCGUGGGGGAUAACGUAGCGAAAGCUACGCUAAUACCGCAUACGAUCUAUGGAUGAAAGCGGGGGAUCGCAAGACCUCGCGCGAUUGGAGCGGCCGAUAUCAGAUUAGGUAGUUGGUGAGGUAAAGGCUCACCAAGCCGACGAUCUGUAGCUGGUCUGAGAGGACGACCAGCCACACUGGGACUGAGACACGGCCCAGACUCCUACGGGAGGCAGCAGUGGGGGAAUUUUUGGGACAAUGGGCGCAAGCCUGAUCCAGCAAUGCCGCGUGCAGGGUGAGGACGUCGGUUGUAACGUAGUC